rnacentral:rRNA from 1 species
UACGGAGGGUGCAAGCGUUAUCCGGAUUUAUUGGGUUUAAAGGGUCCGUAGGCGGAUCUGUAAGUCAGUGGUGAAAUCUCACAGCUUAACUGUGAAACUGCCAUUGAUACUGCAGGUCUUGAGUGUUGUUGAAGUAGCUGGAAUAAGUAGUGUAGCGGUGAAAUGCGUAGAUAUUACUUAGAACACCAAUUGCGAAGGCAGGUUACUAAGCAACAACUGACGCUGAUGGACGAAAGCGUGGGGAGCGAACAGG